rnacentral:misc_RNA from 1 species
CUAUUUAGUAAUUUUCAGACAACGCUUGUGAGUAGGCAACCUCAAAAUUGGUUGUAAGAAAAGGGGGAAGGCUUGGAAACCGGAAUGCUGAAAUUUCCGACCCUAUUGUAACGCAUCAGAAAAUUAUUAUCCAAACUUGCAGAAUUACAUUUAUGGAUUUUAUGAUCCAAAAAUGAUGCUCUAAACCCUAACAGUGUAGAACAGCUCAUGGACCUGCGAUUAAAAAUGUUCUCGGCAAAUUGAAGUAUUUGCAGUAGCUCUAGUUGACUUGGUAUAUAUACAACGCAUCAUGACAACACCCAUGUGCGAAGAUGGCGGGUUGCUCAGGGAAUGGGUACCGCUAACCAAACUUCUCCAACAAAUACCACUGAAGUCUCAAAACGGUCUGUUUACACAGGAUGUUAAUUUCACAUGCAUUGAUGCUGUAACAGAAUUCAUUGCUAUUGGCACUAACCAUGGCUUGGUUUAUUGGUACGACAGGGAGAAAGGAGACCUUCAAAGGCUACGUUGCGAAAAUACAAAUACAUCAAUUACGUGUGUAAGGGUGAUAUCGACAGUGGACUACAUGGUAGCGGCAGGAAAUGAUCAAGGCAUAGUAACAGUUUUUCAAAUUCCAAAAAACCCUCCAGACUCAUUACCGGAUAGUCUUAAACCAAAACAGAAAAAGCAAGUUGAACGCUACAACAUCGGUGGUCUCCAUAAAAAAGCUGUAACCACUGUUGAAUGGUCAAAAAAUGGAAUGAAACUGUUCAGUGGAGAUCAAGAUGGUCUUGUAGUGAUAACAGAAAUUGAUUUCUACAUGCACUUGUCCAAGUCAUCGGAAUUACUCAAUGAAAAAUACCCAGUAGUCCAGUUGAGUUAUCAACAAGGCCUUUUACUAGUUUCGACAGUCUUUCGCACAAUUCUUGUGAACCGAAACCAAAAUGACAAGGUGUCUCAGGUUGGCCAGAAAGAACGUAAAAUGUUGGGAAAAUUAGGGGCAUGCUUUGGUCCUCGUCAAAGCCCAUUUCAAGAACCUGUCAUUUACUGUAGCAGGCCUGGUGUCAGACUGUGGCAAGCCGAUAAACACGGAACUGUUCUGAAAACACUGAUCUUCAAGGAUGCUCUCCAGACUGGAUAUACGGAAGUUGAGUUAUUGAAUCCAGUUUCAGAGAAUACUAAAAAAAGCCGCGGUGAACCAACACUUGGUAUUAUAUUGCCAUUUUGUGAGGAUUUGUUGGUGACGUACAGCGAUGAUGUUGUCUAUGUAAUAAACCCUAUCAAUGUUGGAAUAACGUCGGCUGUCACAGAUCUAAGGCGGGUCACAAGCGUUGCUUGUAAUAAAGAUGAGUUAUUCAUAUUGGAGGGAGAUAGGAAUAUUAUUCGCGUUGCUUAUCAUCCAGAAACAGAUACUCUUUUAUCUGUUCCAGAGGUGGAAACUACAACAGAUCCAUUACCGUCGCUGGCAGAAAUCAGUAAGCCAAUAGCUGCUGGAAUUAUGGAAUUGACAUCUAAAUUUAAAGAAAGUUCUAUUGUACCAGCAAUUCCACUUCUCAAAAUUAACCCCAGCAACCUAAUCCAGUCCAUAAGCAUCAUGCCUACAAUUACAGUCGGGACAGAUACUACAACAGUAACAAAAGGGGAAGAAGCUAUAGAAAUUCCGCAUAUUCCUCCGUUAGGCGUUGAAAUGAAUUUGAUAACUGAGGUGACUGAAGAGCCUGCUACCACGGAUUUCGAAUCUGGGAAUCGGAACGAUAUUAUUCAGAAGAAAACACAAGAUGAGCGCUGGCGAAUAUUCCAAAAGAUCGGUGAACAGGAAUUUGAGGAUAUUGUAUUCACUCCUGAACGGAAAAACAAAAAAUUCAUACGUAGCUGCUUGAAUGGAAAUGAGAAUAGAGUAACAACUACUGAUUGCAUGAAUUCGUCCACUGAACCAACAGUUUUUGAUAAAAUGCCGCUGAAGAGCAAUCAAGUAGAGCCAAUUAAGUCGUCCCCCUUUACCGUAUACCACGACAUCAACUUGGAACUAGGAACCAAGAAUUUGUUGUGCGAUACUAUAGCUAUCCCAGGUACAGAACAACCUCCAGCAGCUUUCCAUUGCGAUGAUGAGAAUGCAAGUCCUUUAGAAAACCUCGCUGACUCAGAAAACUUCAAUGGCAUACGAGUUGAAAUUGAUUGUACUGUCAGUUCAAACGAAUCAUUGAACCAUAUAAUCACAGACUAUAACGAUAAUCCAGAUACUGAAUCAAUUGAUGAGGAAGAUGAAAGUUAUACAACAGAAUUGAAAAAGUUGCAAGACCUUGGAGAAUGUACCAAACAAUUAUUACAACAAAAAUCUAACCAGAGUCAUAAAACACAUGGAAUAGACGAAGUUGACUUCAACUCUGGAUCAUCUGCGCAUAAAGAAAGAAAUCACGAGUUGGAAAGUCAAUUUAAUGUGUGCAACGAGAUAUGAAAAUCUGCAGUCUUUCAAAUCUGUAAAUUCUAUUGUUCUCGAGAUACCUGCAUUAUUAUGAUAUUUAAUACUUUGAUCAGACGGAAUUUUACAUUCGUAUGUUGCAUCCCAUUGUGAUACUCUCUCAAAAGAAUUUAUUACACUGUCAAGCAUAGAGGAAGAGGAUUGGGUCCUAGUUUAACUAACGGUAAUUCCAAUAUUUACUUAUGACAAGUAGUGAAUAAAAAAAGAAGCUUAAUAAGAAAAGAAGAAUAGCUCUGAAUGGACAACUAUGGAAGAAAAUGUUUUUCACGAGUACGUUUGAUGGGCGCUGUAGUAUUUGUCACAGGAUAAUGGUGAAUAAUAAUUUUAUGUAUAGUUUUUUAGGUUUUAAGUUAUCUGAGUAAGCACCACACGAAUUUUAAAUACUUCUUUUUAGUUAUUUAUAAUUAUUUGUAAUUUUAUUUGCUAUAUAUUCUGAUAUAAGGGCCAUGGAUAGAUUGAUUAUGGUAAUUAUAUUAGUACCAUUUUAAUAAGAAUGAUUCCAUAUUAUGUGGUGGGGAGAGCGCUGUAAAAGUAUUCCAUAAUCAGUACUUAAAUUACACCUAUUUAGAAGUUACAAACAUUAUCCAUAAUAUAUCAUUGUUCACAUACGAUUUUUUUUAUAUCUAUUCAAUUGAUAUGUAUGUAUGAGAUGUAUAUAUUUUAAGUAUCGAAUUUGUG